rnacentral:pre_miRNA from 17 species
AGCAACCCAAUUUAUUUCCAUUUGCUGCAAUCAGUAACAAGAAUUUGUCCCUUUGUGUCUUAAGUAUCUAAGGAGAAUUUUUGUUGCUUAGUGUAGUGAAUGGGCCUGAGUGGAUUUCUGCA